UACAAAUUGAUAAUAAUAUAAUAAUAUUUAAAUUUAAAAUAAUGUCUUAAUUCUGUAUUCCGCCAUUUACUCAUUUGUAGACUGUUGUUUCGAAUUGCCUGUUCGAAAUUAGAACGAGUGUUACCCAGCCAUUAAUAAGUAUUUGUUUUGAACAAUAAUUCUAUCAAGUAACAAUUUCGUCUGAAAUUAUUUUAUUUCAAUCACGAUCCUGUAUUAAUUAUAUAUCAUGUUUGAUGAUUACACAGUCGGAGCAUUGGGCGAUUUGAUUGCAUCCAAUGGAAAUAUAAAGAAAACAAAAAAAG